UACGGAGGAGGCAAGCGUUAUCCGGAAUUAUUGGGCGUAAAGCGUCCGCAGGUGGCGAUUCAAGUCUGCGGUCAAAGACUGGGGCUUAACCCUGGAAAGGCCGUGGAAACUGAAUAGCUAGAGUGCAGUAGGGGUAGAGGGAAUUCCCGGUGUAGCGGUGAAAUGCGUAGAGCUCGGGAAGAACAUCGGUGGCGAAAGCGUUCUGCUAGACCUGUACUGACACUGAGGGACGAAAGCUAGGGGAGCGAAUGGG
rnacentral:rRNA from 1 species